CUGCGGGAUGCUUUACCUGCAAGUCGAACGGCAGCACGGGUGCUUGCACCUGGUGGCGAGUGGCGAACGGGUGAGUAAUGCGUCGGAACGUACCGAGUAAUGGGGGAUAACGCAGCGAGAGUUGUGCUAAUACCGCAUACGCCCUGAGGGGGAAAGUGGGGGAUCGCAAGACCUCACGUUAUUCGAGCGGCCGACGUCUGAUUAGCUAGUUGGUGAGGUAAUGGCUCACCAAGGCGACGAUCAGUAGCGGGUCUGAGAGGAUGAUCCGCCACACUGGGACUGAGACACGGCCCAGACCCCUACGGGAGGCAGCAGUGGGGAAUUUUGGACAAUGGGGGCAACCCUGAUCCAGCCAUGCCGCGUGAGUGAAGAAGGCCUUCGGGUUGUAAAGCUCUUUCAGAUGGAAAGAAAUCGUGCAGGUUAAUACCCUGUAUGGAUGACGGUACCGUCAGAAGAAGCACCGGCUAACUACGUGCCAGCAGCCGCGGUAAUACGUAGGGUGCGAGCGUUAAUCGGAAUUACUGGGCGUAAAGCGUGCGCAGGCGGUUUUGUAAGACAGGUGUGAAAUCCCCGGGCUUAACCUGGGAACUGCAUUUGUGACUGCAAGGCUAGAGCAUGGCAGAGGGGGGUAGAAUUCCACGUGUAGCAGUGAAAUGCGUAGAGAUGUGGAGGAAUACCGAUGGCGAAGGCAGCCCCCUGGGUCAAUACUGACGCUCAUGCACGAAAGCGUGGGGAGCAAACAGGAUUAGAUACCCUGGUAGUCCACGCCCUAAACGAUGUCAACUAGGUGUUGGGGGGAGGAGACUUCCUUAGU
rnacentral:rRNA from 1 species